AAGCUCGUAGUUGAAUUUCGGGGUUCUACCGUUGGUCGGGCUAACCAGUCUGUACUAGCGUGUAGAAUUCCUACCUUCUGGGGAACCAUCACGUUAUUAAUUUAGCGUGGUGGGAAACCAGGACCUUUACCUUGAAAAAAUUAGAGUGUUCAAAGCAGGCUUACGUCUGAAUACAUUAGCAUGGAAUAAUAAAAUAGGACGGUGGUCCUGUUUUGUUGGUUUCUGAAUCACCGUAAUGAUUAAUAGGGAUAGUUGGG
rnacentral:rRNA from 1 species